GGAUAUGGCUCAGUUGGUAGAGUGCUUGCCUUGCAUGCACAAGGCCCUGGGUUCAAUCCCCAGCACCA
rnacentral:tRNA from 1 species